GGUCUCAGACAACUAAAAAGAUGUCUUUAAGGCAAAACAAUGAAACAAUCAAAAUAUACUAGAUCUUUUUUUAUUACCCUAACGAACAGGAAGUAGCAAGAGUAUUGAAUCGUGCAGCAAGCUAUUGAAAAAAGAGUUAGGGUGAUGGAACAGAAAGGUUCACCUGAUUUUUCUUUUUCUUUUAUCAUAAGAACAAGUGUUGUUAAAAGCAAUUUCGGUAAGAGUGGUAAAGAAAGUAAAAACUCAAAUUCUGGCUGUAAAAGGAAUACAAAAUCGUGAUUGCUGCUAAUACGAAAAGUUUUACUUGUUGUGUUUGCCAUACAUUUCUACCCUACCGUUACUUCAUUACAUGCGUCUUGUUCUUCUUGUAUUUGUUUCGCUUUUUGACAAAUAACUCCAAUGCCACCCUGCCAAAAAGAAAAAAUAAUAUAAUUUUCUGACUGUUUUAUUAACCUGGAGAAUUUCCCGUCAGGAUAUAAAUUACUUAAACGAUACUGAAGUAUGGUGAAUAUUUCCUGGGCAGUGUACGCGUUGAAAUCAAAGUGUCACCUAAACGCGAAGAACAACGAGUUUGAAAUAAAUCAGGAAGAUUCAUUAUAUUCGAAAUGGCUAUUAAACAUAAGGAAGCAGUUGGAAUGUUUGGCCACUCGAGUAACGUAUAAAUGACUUUCUAAUUUUUUGAAACGCAUGUUUAACAAAAUGUUCAGAAAAAACAUAUUUUAUAAUAUGUUAUACAUACUUGGUCACGGGUAAAAAGAUGGUCAAUUUCAUCAAUAACUAAGAUUCUUAUGUUCUUCCGUAAAAGUUUUUUCUGAUGAUGAACGGAAAAACUGAUCCAAAAGUGAUAAACAUUGAGAAGAAUUAGGACACCUUUGUUUAGAUCUGAAUAACUAGACCAAAAUAUAGUACAAAAAAUGAUUUUCGAGUGUUCCAAUAGAGAAGGAGCAUGGUACCUGACGAUAAAUUUCUUGAUAAAUGGUAAUAGGACGCGUGAUUUCCAUCCCAUUAACAAAAACGAGCUGCAUUAUAUGCAUACAAGUCAUAAAAGCACGAGACACGGUUGCCGUUUUACCAGUACCGGAAGGGUUCAAUAAAAGUUACAGCUCCUACCGUCCCGGAAGAAAAUUGGUUAAAUUAGAAUCAUCUUCAAACACUAAGGAAGAACUACGGAACUUGCAACUUCUCAUCCUGUCUAAUUGAGCAUUGGUGCAAUAUUGGUG